CUACGGGGUGCAGCAGUGGGGAAUAUUGCACAAUGGAGGAAACUCUGAUGCAGCAACGCCGCGUGGAGGAUGACACUUUUCGGAGCGUAAACUCCUUUUAUAUAGGAAGAAGAUGACGGUACUAUAUGAAUAAACGCCGGCUAACUCCGUGCCAGCAGCCGCGGUAAUACGGAGGGCGCAAGCGUUACUCGGAAUCACUGGGCGUAGAGAGCGUGUAGGCGGAUUAAAAAGUCAGAAGUGAAAUCCUAUAGCUUAACUAUAGAACUGCUUCUGAAACUCUUAAUCUAGAAUGUGGGAGAGGUAGAUGGAAUUUCUGGUGUAGGGGUAAAAUCCGUAGAGAUCAGAAGGAAUACCGAUUGCGAAGGCGAUCUACUAGAACACUAUUGACGCUGAGAUGCGAAAGCGUGGGGAGCAAACAGGAUUAGAUACCCGAGUAGUC
rnacentral:rRNA from 1 species